rnacentral:rRNA from 1 species
UACGAAGGGGGCUAGCGUUGCUCGGAAUCACUGGGCGUAAAGCGCACGUAGGCGGCUUUUUAAGUCAGGGGUGAAAUCCUGGAGCUCAACUCCAGAACUGCCUUUGAUACUGAGAAGCUUGAGUUCGGGAGAGGUGAGUGGAACUGCGAGUGUAGAGGUGAAAUUCGUAGAUAUUCGGAAGAACACCAGUGGCGAAGGCGACUCGCUGGACAGGUAUUGACGCUGAGGUGCGAAAGCGUGGGGAGCAAACAGG